UACGGAGGGGGCUAGCGUUGUUCGGAAUUACUGGGCGUAAAGCGCACGUAGGCGGCUUUGUAAGUUAGAGGUGAAAGCCCGGAGCCCAACUCCGGAACUGCCUUUAAGACUGCAUCGCUUGAAUCCAGGAGAGGUGAGUGGAAUUCCGAGUGUAGAGGUGAAAUUCGUAGAUAUUCGGAAGAACACCAGUGGCGAAGGCGGCUCACUGGACUGGUAUUGACGCUGAGGUGCGAAAGCGUGGGGAGCAAACAGG
rnacentral:rRNA from 1 species